rnacentral:rRNA from 1 species
AUGGCCGCCCUCCGCCUCGCCUCCUCCGUCACCCUCUGCCCGGCGGCCGCGGCCGCGUCGCCCUCGUCCGCCGCCGCCGCGCCCCGCGCCGCCUCCUUCGCCUGCGCGGUCGCGCGCGGGCUCCCCUCCCUCCGCCUCGCCGCGCCCCGCCGCCGCCGCGGCGACCUCGGCCGGCCCAGCGCCGCCGGCGCCGAGGCCGCGGCCGAGAACUACGCGACCGCGCUCACGGAGGUGGCCGCCGAGAGCGACUCCCUCGACGCGACCGUGGCGGACAUGGAGAAGCUGGAGAAGAUCUUCGCGGAGGAGGCCAUCGCCGAGUUCUUCGACAACCCCACCGUGCCGCGCGAGGAGAAGACGGCGCUCAUUGACGAGAUCGCCAAGUCGUCGGAGCUGCAGCCGCACACCGUCAACUUCCUCAACGUGGUCAUCGACAACACCCGCGCCAGCCUGAUGCCGCAGAUCGUGCGCGAGUUCGAGACCGCCUACAACGCGCUCACCGGCACCGAGGAGGCCGUCGUCACCUCCGUGGUGCAGCUCGAGUCGCAGGACCUCGCGCAGAUCGCCACGCACGUGCAGAACAUCACCGGCGCCGCCAACGUCCGGAUCAAGACCCGCCUUGACCCGGAGCUCAUCGCCGGAUUCACCGUGCAGUACGGCCGCGACAGCUCCAACUUCAUCGACAUGAGCGUCCGCAAGCAGAUCGCGGAGAUCACCUCCGAGUUCGAGAUGCCCUCCGUCAACCUCGAAGUCUGA